UAGGUAUUAGAGGCUCUUAAAGGAUCAACUGCGACAAGACCUGCUAUUUUUGCCAUGUCUAAUCCUACAACAAAUGCCGAGUGCACUCCUGAACAAGCAUUCUCAAUCUUG